rnacentral:rRNA from 1 species
UGGGGAAUAUUGCACAAUGGGCGCAAGCCUGAUGCAGCCAUGCCGCGUGUGUGAAGAAGGCCUUCGGGUUGUAAAGCACUUUCAGCGGGGAGGAAGGCGGUGAGGUUAAUAACCUCACCGAUUGACGUUACCCGCAGAAGAAACACCGGCUAACUCCGUGCCAGCAGCCGCGGUAAUACGGAGGGUGCAAGCGUUAAUCGGAAUUACUGGGCGUAAAGCGCACGCAGGCGGUCUGUCAAGUCGGAUGUGAAAUCCCCGGGCUCAACCUGGGAACUGCAUUCGAAACUGGCAGGCUAGAGUCUUGUAGAGGGGGGUAGAAUUCCAGGUGUAGCGGUGAAAUGCGUAGAGAUCUGGAGGAAUACCGGUGGCGAAGGCGGCCCCCUGGACAAAGACUGACGCUCAGGUGCGAAAGCGUGGGGAGCAAACAGG